GACGUAGGGCGCGAGCGUUGUCCGGAUUCAUUGGGCGUAAAGCGCGCGUAGGCGGCUCGGAAAGUCGGGCGUGAAAUGCCGGGGCUCAACCCCGGGACUGCGUCCGAUACUUCCGAGCUGGAGGUAGGUAGGGGAGAUCGGAAUUCCUGGUGUAGCGGUGAAAUGCGCAGAUAUCAGGAAGAACACCCGUGGCUAAGGCGGUUCUCUAGUACGGUACUGACGCUGAGACGCGAAAGCGUGGGGAGCGAACAGG
rnacentral:rRNA from 1 species